UCUCAACAUUAAUAAAACAAGAGAAGAUGAUGGAGGAGAAUAUUUCUGUGGAUAUGUGGAGGGAAGUACAGUAAAGUUCACAUCUGGAACACGUCUGCAGUUUGAAGGUGAAGAGAUGAAACCCUGUCCUACACCUGGAACACUUAACAAGAACACACACACUGUUACACACCAGGGUUCAAACAGCAGUGAUGGAGAAGUUUCUAAAGGUAAAGAGACGAAACCCUGUUCUACAACUGGAACACUUACCAUCACAACUCCUGCUUCAGGUGAUCAAACU